UCAAAACACACUGGUUGUGAUCAUGAAGUUCUGUCUCCACUCCAGAAGAAAGAAGAAUAGAGGAUGAAUUUGGGACAAAACAAAUCACUGAUUACGAUAGUAAUCUCCGAUCAUCAUCAUCGUCCAUUUCUAUUGCAUAGUUUUGUGAGAGAUUAUUAUGGUUCAGGAGGUAAUAACAAGAGCACAAGAAUUUCACAGCUUGAGAUUAGGAAGAUUGGUGAUGGUUUGAGAUACUUUGAGCAGUUGAUUUUGGAAAGGCCAUUACCAUCUAACGAUACAUUUAAUCAUGUAUUGAGUUCAUUAUCAAUGAAUAAAUGUUACUCAGAUGUCUAGAAGAAAAUGAAUUUGGUUGGGGUACAACUUAACAUUGUUUACAUUGAACAUUUUGAUUAGUUGCUGUUGUCAGUUAGGAAAUGUGAAUCAUGGGUUUUGUUUGCUUGGACAGAUUAUUAAGAGAGGUUAUCAUCCUAAUACAAUCCACUGGUGAAAGGGUUGUGUGCCAAGAGUGAGAUCUGCCUUUAAAGUGUUUGCUAAAAUGAUUCACACAGGAUGCUUUUACCUGUAAUAUUCUUAUACCUGAAAUGUACACUAUCCUUAUUCAUGGUUUUGCCGGGCUGACCAGUUGGAAGAUGCAACAGAACUGUUUAAUGGGAUUCCAAAAGAAUGGAUUAGUUCCUAAUGUAGUAACAUUUAACACACUGAUAGUUAGCCUCUCUUGUAACAGGAUGUUCUUGGAGGCUAUCAAGUUAAUUGUCAAAAUGGAAGAGAGGUUGUUUACCAGAUUCUGGAACAUAUGAUAUCAUCAUCAAGGGUUUCCUUACAUUGCAAUUUCUUCGCAAGAUGCGUGAAAGAAAAUUUGUACCUUGUGAUUCUGUUAUUUCUUUGUUAAUAAACACUCUCUCGACAGAUGAGCUAAAAAAUCUAUAGUUUUUUUUUUUUAAACCUUGAAACUGUGGAGGUAGAAGGAACCUUAAUCUCUAUCAGUGCUGAGCUCAUAUGGUGACAAAUAUGCUUGGACAUUGAAGGCUGGCCUCAUUGUUUGGUUCUACAUCUCAACUCGGAUACACUGAUCAAAAAGUUUUAUGGGCAACUGAACCCAACUAAUAUGUGGCAAAAUUGUAUUGAAGAACGCAUGGUUCUUCAAAUGAGUGUAGUGCAUUAUGGGCUUCUGACAGUUGGACUUUUACGAAUCCCCAACUUAAGAGAAAUUCUGGGAAGAUAUUUCUGUAGAAACAGAAGAAGCUUGUUCUGAAAUCCAUCAUUAAUUCAGAAUGACAAGAGACAAGGAGAGAUGGAUGAUAAUCUGGCUGAUCUGUAUACAAUAAUCAAAGCAAGAGAGCAGCUCAAAAAAGCUUGUGUACGGACCCGAGAGUUUAAAGUUGAUUGCAAAAUCCCUUUUAUUGCGUGUUUUACUGAAAUAUGUAAACUAGAUGGUCCUACUGCUCUUUUUUAAUCUAAUUUCAUCUGGCAACUGGAAUAGCUGUCAUUCCUGCCAUUUAUGAGCAUCAAACAGUUGCUGGUGCAUCUUCUACUUUUCAGUUGAAAUUGUAGCAGAGUGUGUGCAGUUUUUCAUUACUAAACAGAAGAUUAUGGUUGCCUUUGAUCAACUAUAUCCAAUACUCAGAAACUGAAUGCGGUUGUUGUUCACCUGUCAGGGUCUCUCAACAAGCUCACCAUAUUGCACCUGAUCUUAGAUGGACCGUGUUUCAAGACUGGGAACGUGAGUGCUGCUGACAAAGUAGCAGAACAACAGCGUAGGCAACUUCAUUUUGAUCUUGAAUCACCCUACAAUUUGCUCACGACUGCUCGCCAAAUUCUGGCAUCAAGCUCCUGUUUUUCCGUGCUUUUUUUUUUCUUCUUCUUUUCUCGUUGUGUAAAGUGUACUUCCUAUUUAUUUUGAUUAUCUUCGGUAUAAGCUAGUAAUUUGGAGAGUUAUACUCCUUCUGUUUCUGCAAAAGUGUAACUUUUUAGGCUAAAAUGAAAAACGGAUAGUAACACUUUUGCGGAAACAAAGAUAAUAGAAUAUUUUUGAUUUUUUUAUUCGCA